rnacentral:lncRNA from 1 species
ACGGAUCAUCUUUUAAAGAACUAGUCUAUGCUACGUGCGAUGCACGAGCUGUGCAUGAAUUAUGGUUUAGUUAGCGUAUGUAUUAAAUAUGUUUAAAAAUAUAUGAAAAGUUGGAAUUAUUGACAAGGAACUAACUAGUUAUACGAGUUGAUCACUCGUCUUUCUUCCACCAAAUGUCAUUUUUCUACAAAAAGUUGCAAAAUCAAUAAAAUUAUUAAUAAUGAGAAUUCAAGUCAUAGUUAGUCAAAAAAAUACUCCAUUGGACAAUAAAAGUAUUCCAAGCAAAAAAAGCUAG